UACGGAGGAGGCAGGCGAUGUCCGGAAUUAUUGGGCGUAAAGCGUCAGUAGGUGGCUAAUCAAGUCUGCGGUUAAAGACUGGAGCUCAACUCCAGAAGAGCCGUGGAAACUGAGAAGCUAGAGACCGGUUGGGGUAGAGUGAAUUCCCAGUGUAGCGGUGAAAUGCGUAGAGAUUGGGAAGAACACCGGUGGCUAAAGCGCUCUGCUGGACCGGAACUGUCACUGAGGUACGAAAGCUAGGGGAGCGAAUGGG
rnacentral:rRNA from 1 species